rnacentral:lncRNA from 1 species
UGAUUGGAGGAGAUUGGAGAGUGGGGAAUAAGGUUUUCGGAAGAGGACAAAGGGUAAACAGUGCCCUAGAAGCUCACGGGUCCCCCUUGUAAUAGUGGGGUCCCGACGUUGGGUCGACUCAAGAAUUUUCUUGGGUCGACUCAACGUUGGGUCGACCCUAUUCUGGGUUGGGUCGACCCAAGUUCAGAAAUUUUUUCUUUCUCUUCCUUUUCGCUUC